UUNGCCGUUUGGUACGGCAAUAGCCUCUGGAAACGGAGAGUAAUACCGUAUGAGCCCUUCGGGGGAAAGAUUUAUCGCCAAAGGAUUGGCCCGCGUUAGAUUAGGUAGUUGGUGGGGUAACGGCCUACCAAGCCUACGAUCUAUANCUGGUUUUAGAGGAUGAUCAGCAACACUGGGACUGAGACACGGCCCAGACUCCUACGGGAGGCAGCAGUGGGGAAUCUUGGACAAUGGGGGCAACCCUGAUCCAGCCAUGCCGCGUGAGUGAUGAAGGCCUUAGGGUCGUAAAGCUCUUUCGCCUGUGAAGAUAAUGACGGUAGCAGGUAAAGAAACCCCGGCUAACUCCGUGCCAGCAGCCGCGGUAAUACGGAGGGGGUUAGCGUUGUUCGGAAUUACUGGGCGUAAAGCGCACGUAGGCGGACUGGAAAGUUGGGGGUGAAAUCCCAGGGCUCANCCCUGGAACUGCCUCCAGAACUAUCAGUCUAGAGUUCGANAGAGGUGAGUGGAAUUCCGAGUGUAGAGGUGAAAUUCGUANAUAUUCGGAAGAACACGNNUGGCGAANGCGGCUCACUGGCUCGAUACUGAAGCUGAGGUGCGAANGUGUGGGGGAGCAAACANGAUUAGAUACGCUGGUAGUCCACUCC
rnacentral:rRNA from 2 species